rnacentral:rRNA from 1 species
CCUACGGGCGGCUGCAGUGGGGAAUAUUGCACAAUGGGGGAAACCCUGAUGCAGCGACGCCGCGUGAGUGAAGAAGUUUUUCGGUAUGUAAAGCUCUAUCAGCAGGGAAGAAAAUGACGGUACCUGCCUAAGAAUCCCCGGCUACCUACUUUCCAGCAGCCGCGGUAAUACGUAGGGGGCAAGCGUUAUCCGGAUUUACUGGGUGUAACGGGGGCGCAGACGGCUGUGCAAGUCUGGAGUGAAAGGCGGGGGCCCAACCCCCGGACUGCUAUGGAAACUGUAAAGCUGGAGUGCAGGAGAGGUAAGCGGAAUUCCUAGUGUAGCGGUGAAAUGCGUAGAUAUUAGGAGGAACACCAGUGGCGAAGGCGGCUUACUGGACUGCAACUGACGUUGAGGCUCGAAAGCGUGGGGAGCAAACAGGAUUAGAUACCCCAGUAGUC